UACGUAGGGUGCGAGCGUUGUCCGGAAUUAUUGGGCGUAAAGGGCGCGUAGGCGGUUUGUUAAGUCGGCUGUGAAAGCCCGGGGCUCAACCCCGGAGGGUCAGCCGAUACUGGCAGACUAGAGUACGGAAGAGGUAGCUGGAAUUCCAGGUGUAGCGGUGAAAUGCGUAGAUAUCUGGAGGAACACCGGUGGCGAAGGCGGCAUCCUGGACCGGUAUUGACGCUGAUGCGCGAAAGCCAGGGGAGCAAACGGG
rnacentral:rRNA from 1 species